CCAUUAGGUUUAUCACUUGAAGAAUUCCUGAUUAAGCAUCCAAUAGUACUAGUAUUGAGCUGGAUUUUGGUACUGUGAGCUGUCAACAGUUGUCCUGCAAAAGGAUAGGAACAAACAAUAAUUUAGAAUUUUCUUUUAUUAGUUUUAUUAUAAUUUUAGAGGAUAAGGACAAGUGUCUCUAGAUCUUUCUUCUAUGGAUGUAAUUGUGGAUCCCUACUCUAUAAAGGGAAUGACAGAUGAAUGAAAAAGCAGAAAAUAUAAUAUUCUUA
rnacentral:lncRNA from 1 species